GACGUAGGGCGCGAACGUUGUCCGGAUUUAUUGGGCGUAAAGAGCUCGUAGGCGGCUUGUUGCGUCAGCUGUGAAAACCCGCAGCUCAACUGUGGGCUUGCAGCUGAUACGGGCAGGCUUGAGUUCGGUAGGGGAGACUGGAAUUCCUGGUGUAGCGGUGGAAUGCGCAGAUAUCAGGAGGAACACCAAUAGCGAAGGCAGCUCGCUGGGACGUUACUGACACUGAGGCGCGAAAGCGUGGGGAGCGAACAGG
rnacentral:rRNA from 1 species